UAGGGAAUCUUCGGCAAUGGGGGGAACCCUGACCGAGCAACGCCGCGUGAGUGAAGAAGGUUUUCGGAUCGUAAAGCUCUGUUGUUAAGGAAGAACGAGUGUGAGAAUGGAAAGUUCAUGCUGUGACGGUACUUAACCAGAAAGGGACGGCUAACUACUUGCCAGCAGCCGCGGUAAUACGUAGGUCCCGAGCGUUGUCCGGAUUUAUUGGGCGUAAAGCGAGCGCAGGCGGUUAGAUAAGUCUGAAGUUAAAGGCAGUGGCUCAACCAUUGUAGGCUUUGGAAACUGUUUAACUUGAGUGCAGAAGGGGAGAGUGGAAUUCCAUGUGUAACGGUGAAAUGCGUAGAUAUAUGGAGGAACACCGGUGGCGAAAGCGGCUCUCUGGUCUGUAACUGACGCUGAGGCUAGAAAGCGUGGGGAGCGAACAGG
rnacentral:rRNA from 1 species